rnacentral:rRNA from 1 species
GCGUUGUCCGGAUUUAUUGGGCGUAAAGAGCGUGUAGGCGGCCAGGUAGGUCUGCUGUGAAAACUCGAGGCUCAACCUCGAGACGUCGGCGGAAACCAUCUGGCUAGAGUCCGGAAGAGGAGAGUGGAAUUCCUGGUGUAGCGGUGAAAUGCGCAGAUAUCAGGAAGAACACCCGUGGCGAAGGCGGCUCUCUGGGACGGUACUGACGCUGAGACGCGAAAGCGUGGGGAGCGAACAGG